rnacentral:rRNA from 1 species
UGAGGAAUCUUGCGCAAUGGGGGAAACCCUGACGCAGCGACGCCGCGUGCGGGAAGAAGGCCUUCGGGUCGUAAACCGCUUUUCUGUGGGACGAGGAAGGACGGUACCACAGGAAUAAGUCCCGGCUAACUACGUGCCAGCAGCCGCGGUAAAACGUAGGGGGCGAGCGUUAUCCGGAAUCACUGGGCGUAAAGGGCGUCUAGGCGGCACGUCAAGUCUUGCGUGAAAUCUCCUGGCUCAACUAGGAGAGUGCGUGGGAAACUAGCGAGCUAGAGACGUGGAGGGGUGCACGGAAUUCCCGGUGGAGUGGUGGAAUGCGUUGAGAUCGGGAGGAACACCAGAAGCGAAGGCGGUGCACUGGCCACGGGACUGACGCUGAAGCGCGACAGCGUGGGGAGCGAACGGGAUUAGAUACCCCGGUAGUCCACGCCGUAAACGAUGACGACUAGGUGUGUGUAACCGAAGGGUUAUGCGUACCGCAGCAAACGCGAUAAGUCGUCCGCCGUGGGGAGUACGGCCGCAA